CACUCUAUUCUCCUUCUAUCAAGCCUAACCUACUGUAGUAGUAGUGUCAUAGUAGAGGGGAGGGGAGAGAUGGCGUCCGACCCCGCGCCGCCGCACGAGCCCGCUGCCGCCGCCGAUGACGUCCUCGCCACCUACCUCGGCCUCAGCUUCGCCUUCUUCCUCGCCUCCCUGCCCGGCGGCACCCCGGCCGCGCGCCACCUCGCCUCGCUGCAGUCGCGCGGCCGCGUCCUCGCCACGCGCCUCCUCGCCGCCGAGGACCAGCUCCGCCAGCUGCGCGCGCGCCGCCGCGAGGACGCCCGCGCCAAUGCCCGCGCCGCCGAGAUCUUCGCCGGCCACCGCGCCUCCUGGAUGGACAACGAGCGCCGCCUCCUCGCCCGCGCCACCGCCGCCACCGACGAGGCCGCCUCCCUCCGCGCGCGCCUCGCCGAGGCCGAGGCCGAGGCCGCCGCGCUGCGGGCCCGCGUCGACCGCCUCGAGCGCGAGGCCGCCGAGCGCGAUGAUCUCAUCAACGCGCUCCUGGCCGCCACGCGCGCCGCCGAUGCCGACCUACGGGCCACCGAGGAGGAGCCCGACCCGCGGGAGGCGGACCACCAGCACCAGCCGGCGGUCCCGGCGUUGGAUCCGGUCGAACCCUGCAGUGCUGACGCCGACGCCGACGCCCUGGCUGCAGCCGCGGCUCUCUACGCUCAGCAGCGCCAGCAGCACGAGGGUUUCGGCGACGACUUCUACACGGCGGCGGCGGCGGCCGCCUCGGGAAUGCAGCCAUGGAGGGAGCGAUCAAAAGGCUGGCAGGACCUGAAGUUCGAAGCGGCUGAGCCAAUGUAUAACACAAAGCAUGCUGUACCACGGAGAGAAUCACCUUGGAAGGUGGAUGUGGAAUCAUCAGGAGUUCCUGCAAAGCUUCAACUGCUUGAGCAGGAAUUAAUUAACCUGGAAAAGAUUGGAAAUGGAGACCUUUCCAAGAUACCACUGGUGAUGAGAAAGCAAGUGAAAAGAUACCAAACUCUUGCAGGGAAGAUUGAUGAUCUUUGCAAAAGAAUGCAAACAAGUGACCCCUGUGAUUCAACACUGAGCUCAGAGUUUAGAACACAAAGGCAAACAGAAUACUUGCUGGAAGCAUUCCACCUGCAGCACCGAGCAACUGAAACUAGGCAGAAGCUCAGUGCACUGCAAGCAGAGACCGCAAAAGGAAGUUUCGGUGAUGAACUGACAGCAGAAGCUAAAAUGAGCACAAGAAGAGCACUGAGUUCUGUCCGGAACAACUUCAAGGAAAUUCAGCGUAGUUUGGAGAUUUGGUUGGCACGAAUUCUGGGAGACCUCGAGGGCAUGCUGGCAAGGGACGGUGCAUCACGCAUAAGGGAGUACUUUUUGUCUCCUUAUGCUUCAGCUGUUCGAUGAUUAUGUUAACAGAUACGAGACUCUGCUCGACACAUUAAUUCACCUUCAUCAGAAAUACAAAUGCUAACCAUACUUGAAGAGAAUAUGGAUUGAACAAAGCUGAAGGAUGUUGAUACCAGUCACAGAUUACCUGGGCAGGCUGAUUUCCAGGGAAGUUCGGUUCUUUGAUUUGGACUCAUUCAUACGACUGCAGCUUUGGGCCAGUUUCAGAUUGGGAGAGCUGGUAAAGCAUUGAUGAAAUGGCAAUGGAGCAUAGUAUGUAUGCAAGAUGCAAAACAACGGUCGGUCGUGAAGAGGCUGGUGGCAAAAGGCGCGAAAUUUGCUUUGAAACUUAAAGGCAGGUACUGGAUGAUUGAUCAGGUGAGGUGAGGAAGCUACAAUAUUCUUCUUCUGCUUCCAUGAGACAAGCAUAAUAAUAACAAAAAGAGAAAAGAGAAAGAAAGAAGCAAGCAGCAGAAGAAUUGAACUUUGGCACGCAGCUAGCUGAGCUAAAGCUUUAAUUCGCCGAAAGAGAUGGAGGGAAGUGAGAUGCGUUUCUUUUUGGCAGAUGACCACCGGAUACAGAUGAUACCAGUAUAGUAUUCAUCCCGAUGGAUCGAUUAAAGAAGAAAAGAGAAAAAAGUGAUGGAGAUGUAUGCACGAUGAACUGAUUAGCUAGUGGUAGCUUGGCCUGGCUUGGCACUAGUAACAAUUAUGAGUAGCAGCUUCUGUCGAAGCUUGCAGACAUCCAUCUGAUCGAUCGAGCUGGUGGUGGCCAUGGGUCGAUGAAUUAGCAGGACAGGAGGAGGCAGCAGCUGCUGGGACUGGGAGCAUGGAGCCCACGACGGCCAUGGCCAUGGAUGCUGCAGCUGGUGGUACAGUGAACAUCUACUGUUACAGCUAGCUAGGUAACAGUAGCUGCCAAGUUAGGU